ensembl:lncRNA
UUUUUUAUUUUUUGUCUUUUUGCCAUUUCUUGGGCUGCUCUCGAGGCAUAUGGAGGUUCCCAGGCUAGGGCUUGAAUUGGAGCCACAGCCGCCAGCCUACGCCAGAGCCACAGCAACACGGGAUCCGAGCCGCGUCUGCAAACCUACACCACAGCUCAUGGCAACGCCAGAACCUUAACCCACUGAGCAAGGCCAGGGACCGAACCCGCAACCUCAUGGUUCCUAGUCGGAUUCGUUAACCACUGAGCCAUGACAGGAACCCCAAAAAUCCAAUUUAAAAAUGGGCAGAGGAGUUGAACAUUUUCCCAAAGAGGACAUGUUAAUGGCGAUCGAGUACACGCAAAGGUGCUCAACUCACUAAUCCGGGAAAUGCACACCCAAAGCACAGUGAGAUGUCCCCUGUGAGAGUGACUAUUAGAAAAAAGACAGACAAUAACAAGUGUUAGCAGGGAAAAGAACCCCCCCGCGCUCCAUGGGUGGGAAAGUAAACAGGCCAGGAGCAGAUGGAAAAUAAUAUAGAGUUUCCUCAAAAUAUUAAAAGUAGAACUAGAAGUAUGAUCUAGCAAUUCCACUUCUGGGUUAUUUCCCAAGAAAACAAAGUCACUAUAGAGAUCUCUGUACCCACAGGUUCAUUGAGGCAUUACUUACAAGAGUCAAGACAUGGAACCAACCUAAGUGUCCACUGACGGAUGAACUGAUAAAGAAAAUGUGAUACACACACACACACAUACACAUAAUAGAUAUAUGAUAUAUAUAUAUAUAUAUAUAUAUAUAUACACACACUCACACAAAAUAAUACUAUUAGACCAUAAAAAAGGGAAAUCCUGCCAUUUGAGACAGUUAUGUAUAGACCUUAAGGGCAUUAUGCGAAAUGAAAUAACUCAGAGAGAAAAAGACAAAUGCUGUAUAAUUUCACUUAUAAGCAGAAUUUUAAAAACCCCCACAAAACAGAACCCAGAGAUAGAAUAAAUAGGGGAGGGGGUGAAAUGGGUAAAGACGGCCAAAAGGUACAAACUGAUAGUUAUAAGAUAGAUGAUCAACAAAAUAGAGAUAGAUGAUAAACAAGAUAGAGAUAGAAUAAAUAGGGGAGGGGGUGAAAUGCGUAAAGACAGCCAAAAGGUACAAACUGACAGUUACAAGAUAGGUGAUAAACAAGUCCUGAGGCUGUAACCUGUAGCCUGGUGACUCUAGCUCGCAAUACGCUAUGGGAUCCGUGAACAGUGCUAAGGGAGACAAUCACAACAGCUGUCAGCACACACACGAAAUUCUGUAACUGUGUGUGGCGACAGAUACUAACUGAACUUGCCAUGGGGAUCAUUUUGCAUUUUAUACAUACAUCAGGUCAUUAUGCAUUAUAAGAAAUAAUUCCUAAAUGUUUUAAAUAAUGGUUUACAAUGUUUGUCGUGGACAAUUUUACUAAGUGAAAAAAAGCCCUAAAACGAAUACACUGUUAUAUGUCAAUUAUAUCCCACUAAAAAUCAACUUUAAAAACCCACAAAAUAAUUAAUCACCACACUUCUCCGUAAAAUACUUAGCUUGGCAUGUCUUCAAAUCUUAAGCAUAUUAAGAAAAUAAAACAAAACAAAACGGAAAAAAACCAACAAUCUAUCCAAUUCUGCCAGGGAAUACAUUUCAGCAUUUUUGAGUAGAAAGAAUGUAUAAUUUGCAAGUGUACUUUAUUCACAUGCUGUAAAGUAUUUUAAAUAGCUUACUCAGAGUUUUUAGCAAUGUGUGAUAAGUACACUGCCAACAUGAAGUUAUGAAAUGCAUCAAACUCCAAAGAAUUCCAAUGAUGCCUUCUCACUGGGCUUCCCAAACCAGGCCGUCAAUAUAAUAUGCUGUUGAUAUUUGAUUCAGACACUCAAUAACCUUACUCUCACUCACAGGCUUAAAAAAAAUCUUAUUUCGUAGCUGUGGCCUUUAGUUUAACUGAAAUGUAUUAAAAAUUGGGCUAAUGUAGGUGUUUAUUUUUUAUUAGGUUUCCUACAAGAAUAAAAGGGGAAAUAGUUGAAAUACUAGGUCUGGUAUUUUCAAAGAGGUUUCAAUCUUUUAGAAGUAUAAUUUAAACACUAUUUAGUAUAUACCACGACAAAACUUUAGCAACUAGAAAUAUGCUAUGUUUAUAUAUUUUCAUGACCUUAAACUUCACCAAAAUAAAUAUAUUUUACUUAUAUAUUUUACUGAAAUGCAGAUGUCUAAAAUCACAGCCAUUAUUGCUAUCACUGUACUAACAGGCUCAGUUUGAUCUGGUAAAGUUUAAAAGUGUGUUUAAGAAAUUAAUUUUUCUGUCAGGACAAGAAAAAAUUUUAAUAUAAUGAACCAUAACGGUACAACAAAUAAAUAAAAAGGCAAAUAUGUAUGGGGUUAUUUUUGUACACCAUUAAAAUUUCAUGAUACAUUUCCUACAGAGGUACUAUCCCUACAUUUUGACUUUUGUCACUCUUCUGUCUCCAUCUAUUUUAUCUUGGGCUAAAGUGGGAGUUCCCGUCAUGGCGCAGUGGAAAUGAAUCCGACUAGGACUCAUGAGGUCGUGGGUUCGAUCCCUGGCCUCGCUCAGUGGGUUAAGGAUCCAGCAUUGAGGUGAGAUGCAGUGUAGGUCGAAGAUGUGGCUUGGAUCUGGUGUAGCUGUGGCUAUGGUGUAGGCCGACAGCUGUAGCUCCAACUGGACCCCAAGCCCGGGAACCUCCAUAGGCUGCGGGUGAGGCCAAAAAGAAAAAAAAAGUCUACUCACAAACUCAAAUAUUUUCCCCUGAAUGUACAGUCCUCACAACUCUUUUAUACCACAAGCCACAAAGAUGAAAGUGCAUGAGAAAGGAGUAGGUAAGAACAGAUGGAGAGAAACGGGGAACAGGGAAACGUCAGAGGCAGAGGUAACCCUGGAGCGGGAAACACACUUCCC